rnacentral:rRNA from 1 species
UACGUAGGGGGCAAGCGUUGUCCGGAUUUAUUGGGCGUAAAGAGCGUGUAGGCGGCUUGACAGGUCUGCUGUGAAAACUCGAGGCUCAACCUCGAGAUGUCGGCGGAAACCGUCUGGCUAGAGUCCGGAAGAGGAGAGUGGAAUUCCUGGUGUAGCGGUGAAAUGCGCAGGUAUCAGGAAGAACACCUAUGGCGAAGGCAGCUCUCUGGGACGGUACUGACGCUGAGACGCGAAAGCGUGGGGAGCGAACAGG